UUUGUCUGGUUCGUUCGUCUCUCCACCUCCUCCUCGAUCCUAAAGCUUGAAAUGUGAAUCGCUAGAGCCUAUGUAAGAUGUCUGAGAAGAAGCUUCGUCCCAUCAAGCUGAAUCGUUAUACCAUGAUGGGAGAAGAUAACAGCUCCUCUAGGAACGCCUUGGUCAAAGUCAAGUUAGAGAAGGACAAGCACGUGUCCUCAGGCUCCUCCAGCAAAGCCAUUGUCACAGUCAAGCUAGAGAAGGAA